GAUGAACGCUGACAGAAUGCUUAACACAUGCAAGUCAACUUGAAUUUGGGUUUUUAACUUAGAUUUGGGUGGCGGACGGGUGAGUAACGCGUAAAGAACUUGCCUCACAGCUAGGGACAACAUUUAGAAAUGAAUGCUAAUACCUGAUAUUAUGAUUUUAAGGCAUCUUAGAAUUAUGAAAGCUAUAAGCACUGUGAGAGAGCUUUGCGUCCCAUUAGCUAGUUGGAGAGGUAACAGCUCACCAAGGCGAUGAUGGGUAGCCGGCCUGAGAGGGUGAACGGCCACAAGGGGACUGAGACACGGCCCUUACUCCUACGGGAGGCAGCAGUGGGGAAUAUUGGACAAUGGACCGAGAGUCUGAUCCAGCAAUUCUGUGUGCACGAUGAAGUUUUUCGGAAUGUAAAGUGCUUUCAGUUGGGAAGAAAAAAAUGACGGUACCAACAGAAGAAGUGACGGCUAAAUACGUGCCAGCAGCCGCGGUAAUACGUAUGUCACGAGCGUUAUCCGGAUUUAUUGGGCGUAAAGCGCGUCUAGGUGGUUAUGUAAGUCUGAUGUGAAAAUGCAGGGCUCAACUCUGUAUUGCGUUGGAAACUGUAUAACUAGAGUACUGGAGAGGUAAGCGGAACUACAAGUGUAGAGGUGAAAUUCGUAGAUAUUUGUAGGAAUGCCGAUGGGGAAGCCAGCUUACUGGACAGAUACUGACGCUAAAGCGCUAAAGCGUGGGUAGCAAACAGG
rnacentral:rRNA from 1 species